GGGUCUGAUCUUCUUGGUUCAUGCAUUGAUGUUUCUGUUCUACGAUUAAUGAUUGUAACACUGCUUAAUUAGCACAUUCAAAACUUGUUCUUCUUGUUUCAUAUACGAAGCUUUGUCUUUAAUUCAGAACUUGGUUCUUUUGAGAAUUUCAUGCCUGCCUUUUGAGUUAUGUUAUGCCUGAGGACUUUGGUCACUUUCUCAUAUUGAUCUUGCCAAAGGAUGUCAUAGCGUUUGUAAUGGUUCAACGGUUUCAUGGUUUUCAGUUGUUGAUUUUUGCCUCUUUUUUUUUUUUUUACUGUACCAAACUCUUGCAGUAAUGUCAUGACCAUUGAUAGUAUACGACUAGGUGAUUUGUCUGACUUUUGUAUUGUAGGUUGAAAAUGAACUUCCAGUAAAAUGAGACAUGUUUUCAUCUGUAUAUAUCUUGCAAAGUCUGGAACUUUCUCUUUUUUUUUUUUUUUUUUGUUAUACCAUAAAAUCCGAAAAAUGUAUUAAGAAUAAACAUCUGUUUUGUGUUCUGCCUUCACGCUUGAUCUUGUCGUGUUCUUCUUGCAUCUGUAUUCCAUUACUCAGUUGCUAAACAAAACUCAAUGAAACAGGGAAAAAUCGAGAGCAAAGGGCUCAACCCAGGACUGAUCGUCCUUCUCGUGAUUGGAGGGCUGCUAGUGACGUUCCUUGUAGGAAACUUCAUCCUCUACACCUACGCUCAGAAGAAUCUGCCUCCGAGGAAGAAGAAGCCCGUUUCCAAGAAGAAGAUGAAGAAAGAUAAGCUGAAGCAAGGCGUUCAAGUUCCUGGCGAGUAGACUUUUGUUGUUUAUUAUAGUUAUGAUCAUUUCCAUGAUGACUCAAUUUGCACCACUAGACAUUAUUUAUAUGACUUUUUAGUUUUUAAUGUUUCGUUAUAAGCAUGGUGUUUUCUCGAAUUGGCAAUGAAAUCCUCAACACUAGUAUAAACUUUGCUUAGAUGAUGUAAUAUUAAACUGAGAUUAUCUGGGGAAUUAACAUUUCGGCAUCGCCAGGGACAGAAGACUGACACGUGGCAACAUGUGACUAGUCUGGAUCACUUUUGCGGAGUUAUAAUAAAUAAAAAAAAGAUUAUAUUUUGCAAUUAAUCAGGAAUGUCAACUCAGUCAGCUGUGACAACCACUAACAGCUUGAAAAUGACAAAAUAUAUUUAAAAGUUCACACUCAUUAGCUCCUCUAUUACUAAACUUAACAAUAUAAAUCUCUAGUUUAGUCAGGACUAUGAAGAAUUCUGAUAGUCUGGGAUUCUCAUGGUGAAUUUACAAGAUAGUUAGACUAGGUUAAGUCUAGUUUAUCUGCAUACAACACCACAUUUGGAUGAUUUGAUGAUACAAGCCUUCAGAGAUUUGGAUCAUUUUGGUGUUGCAAGAUGAAGUCUAUACAAGACCUUUACUUUUGUGAUGGCAAUUGGAGAUUAUGUAAAGUUGUUACCAUAGCUAAACGUGGAUAGAUGACUCAAUAGGUCUUGUCAUCCCAAUGAUCGACCUUAUGACCUCGUUAUGAGCUUGGUUAUGCUGGCUCCCUGAGACCGAGAGAUCUUGGAUCACGUCUUGUUCAUCAUCUGAAGAGACACCUAGCUAGAUGUAGCUAGAUGUUAUCAAGAGUUUUUUUUUUUUGUUUUUGUUUUUGGCAAUCAAAUUUCAUCACUUACUCAGAUGUUAUCAAGUCUUCCAUUAAUAGUUCCAUUGAUGCUGUUAAUGGUCGCUAAAUGAAAACAGGCAACAUCACAUAAUAGUUCUACAUCAAAUCCUUAGCCGUAGUUAGAAGGCUUGAAACAUUUAGAAGCUUGUAGUCUUGUUGGCUUAGAAACAGAGGAGUGAAAUCUUAAAGUCUAGUAAAAUCGAUAACCAAUGCUGGGCCCAUUCUGUAAUUUAUAGUUAUGCGCCUUCUCGUUACAUUUUGGCAAGUGGUGUUAACUUAUGCAUACAUGUUGAUUGUUUACUAAUGAGCAAACGAUCAAUCACAUGUUGCAAGAACAUGGCAUGUGGCAUUGGCUCGUGAAUUACAUGUUGCAAUUCGAAUGACUCCUGAUAUUUCUUUCAUGUUUUAUUAUUUUAUGUUUAGAAUUUAUGAAUACUAAUUCAAUUAAACUUUAUUUUUGUUUGUUUGUUCCAGACAAGUAUUCAGAUUCUCCCUUGGGAUAUGAUGAUAGAGAUUUUUGAUAGAAUUUCUCGUCAUGGGACCAAGCAUUGUUCUUGUUGUAGAACGUGGCGUAAUUACUUUCGGGUUUGUCAGAGGUCAUUGAGGCUUGAUAACCCCGAAGAGAGUUCUUUCCUUUGAGGAAAAAGAUGUUUUGCAACUGUGUCACUGACAUUGGAUUUCUCACUUUCACGCCACCAGAAAUUCGCCGUCUUUACAACUACUGGUAAACCUCCGUCUACAUGACCGCCGGCGUAAUUAGUUGCGUUUACUCUCUUUUCUUUCUUCACUGUAGAUACGGUUAAAUGAUUUCUUUGGAGUGAAGUAACAUAAUUGUGGAUGAUUUGUUCGCUAGGGUUUCGUUUUGUUUUGUUACUCCAUGUCGAACAAAAGAGAAAUCCGCUUGAGAUCCAAUGCUAUGCUUCUAGAAUUCAAGUGGGAAAUGAUCCCAAGUGGGAAAUCUUUGGUAGCUUCUUGAGUGUUCAUGAACAAUAAAUUGUAGAAGAUAGACACGAGCUCACUUCUCAAUCAUGAGUUGGUGAGCCCAAUUCUCAAUUUGACGUUGUCUUGUUUACUUGAACUAAAGAAACGUUCUCUUGCCGUCUUCAUGAUCGCCACUGUGAAUUCACGAAAUCAUUGAUUGCCACCGUAAAACCGUAAGUUCAAUGGUUGAACCAUUGUGUGGACCCAUUCCAGUUAUAAAACAUGUCUUAUCCUGAAGAAUUUACCUAAGAAAAUAGCUCAUUAAUUGUGCAUUAUUCUUUUUGAUCAAACAAGAAAAUGGCUUAGAAAUAUAAUAUAACUCCUGAUCUCUCCAAUUCCAAAAAGUUCUUCGCUCUUUCAAUGAGAAUUGUAAUUAACUUGAAGUCAUACUUACUUUUGAUAUUAUCUUGAAGAUUUCAUGUAAUAAGAUAAAAAAAUUAAUAAAAGAUUUGAGAAAGCUUUUGUAGUCGUCUUCAGAUAUUACUAACAGAGUAAUUGGCCCAUUGACUAACAAAGAUAAUAUUAACAGUACCAAAAGUAACAAACAUAGUACCAAAAGGAGAGAAAGCUUUUGUAGUCGUUUUCUUCAAUAAAAGUAAAGAAAGACGAUAUUUCUCUCCACCAGCGCUUACCAGGAAAUUGACGGCCGGCAUAGGUAGUCCAUGUGGAAUGAAAGCAACGCAUUUCAAUUUCAGUUUUUCUUUGAAUCUCUCUUUCGAUUUGAGAGACGACUUCGUUUACUUACUCCAGAAACGAUGCAUGAAUGUUAGAUGUUGUGAGUGCUUGCAAGUGAUUCCAUCACCUAGAGAUUUCUUUCUUGGAGGUGAGUGCAGCUGGGAUCGAAGCGCUGAGCAUGCUCAUGAUGGUCACUGCAUACGACUGUCCGCAUUCGUUGUACCAGAUCUAGCCUUUCAUUUUCUUCUUUUUCUGGUUCAGGCGGAUUAUAUAGAACACUAGAGUUUUGAAUUUCAUUACUUUACACGUAAUCAUAUAAAAUUGAAUAUAGUAAGAAAUGGGUAAAUGAAAAAAAAUGUUUAGAAAAUGAUCAUCGUUCUAUGUACACAUUUUAUGUUAUCUGAUAUACUUUGGAAAAGAACUAUUUGAAUGGUCAUAUCGACAAAAUUGAAAUUUAAGAAUAAUAUUUUGGAUGCGCCUACUAAAUGUUUAUGAAAGAUAAAGGAGAUCAUAUCGGUAGAAUUGAAAGAAGCAUAUAGAAUUGAAGAAUACUAUUUACACAUGCGAUUGGUGUUGGCUGGGAGAUGGCUGUCUAUGGAGUUCUUCACUAUAUCUCUGGGCUUCUUCGUUGGUACACGUUUGCUACUUUUACUCCCUUCUAAUUACCAUCUCCACCAAUAGCCCGUAGACUGAUCUCAUCGCUGUCCCUUGUAUAUGAGGAGUUGCUACUGCCUUUGUGUCUUCUUGUCUACAUUUUACAAGCUAGCGGCUAUUAUGGCUUAACCCGACCUUUACUCCUUUUCAAAAUUAUUAGCACUUGAAUGCAAAAAGAAACCUUUCUCGGGCCUCUUGGGCCAUACAACAGACAGAGAAGAUCCAAAACCGUUUUGACCAUGGACAAUAUACCUUUGUUAUCUGGGCGAGUUUCUUGCUUGGACAAUUCUAUGUAUAUGCAGUUACUACGGGCUUGUCUGAAUAGCUGGAAGAAGGAAACUGAUUAAGCUGCAGUAGACAGAGAACCAACAUGAAGAUGCCAUAACCUUAUAGACUCUCGUGUGGCUCCUGAGAGUAGAUUCUAAAUCGGGAGCAGUUUGAGUUUUGAGACCUUGUAAAAGUAAAACUCAUAUUCGGAGUAUUGUAGUAGCAUAGAGUACACGACUCUAAUUAUCUGUUAUCAGGUUUGACGUACAGUGACAACCGGCAACAAAUGUAUGUGAUUGCAAUAUAGAGAAUGCAAGUCAAAAUGGCUUAAAUUUGUUUUGUUUGUUUGUUUGCUGCCUCCAUCGAUUUUCCAUAUAAAUCCAGUUAUAUUUUCAAGGGUUACUUAAAUAAGUUAUAGAUUCAUGCCGAAUUAUUUAGGCGGUGAUUAAUUAAUUAUGUCCGAGUCACGUGCACCUUACUACCCCCACGCUAUCCUCCAUGUCAGCAAACCUUUGCUCUGAAACAAACACCAGCGGUGAUUAAUUGGUUCUGUCCUAGUCCCACCUUACACCAUGAUUAACCCGAAGUUUGUAGGAUGAGACUUUUAGCGGAAAUUAAAAAACUGUUUUUUAACUUUUAAUUAAAAAAGCUAAAAACCAGUUCUUAAAUCCGGAUUAAUCAUGUUCUUAGGCCAUGACUAUCGAAAGGUAAUAAAAGAGUUUCUUGCACUGUUCUAAUGACCUGGAUCCCAUAAAAUGGCAAUAAUCGGUUUCAAAAGUUGUGAAAUAUAGGACUCAGUUCGUCCGUUUCUUACACAGUUUGCAGGCUAUACUGACACGUGACGAUCUGUGAUUAGUUUUUUUUUUUUAAUCAGAUAAAAAAAAAUUAAAAAAUCCUUAGUAGGUAUCAGGGGUAAUGAUGCUCUUGCUACCCCACGCUAUCCACCACGUCAGCAAACAUUUCCUCUGAAUCAAAUACCGGUUGCAGCGGAUAAAAGGCACACAAAGCAAAGAAAGAGGAACUGAUUCAGCCGGUUCUCAUUGAACCGUCUCCUGGAAUCUUUGGUUCAGCCAGUAUAUAUGUAUAUAUUUCUUUUUAAUAUAUUUCAAAUAAUUCGAACCUAACUCUAUUCUCUAUUCUUUUCCUUUUGAGUUUAAUUUUUUGUUUCUUUCUUUUCUUUAGCAAGUUCCGAUAAUGUUAAUUCGCCAGAGAACUAAGCUUAUUCAUUUAAACAUGUAAUUUUCAUCUAAAACGCAUGUUUGUUUCAGUUUGAUUCUUAAACAAUUAAUUGGGUUUAGUGUCUAGAUUUUAAAAUUUAAAUUUUAAGAUUUAAGGCUUAGAGUUUAAGAUUUUGGAUCUGGUGUUUUCUAUGAAUAGUGGUAUAUUAUCAGUUCACUUCUUCCUUCCUCAAUUAUAGCCGGAAACAAAAUUGCUCUGAAGAAGACAUGGUACAACGCAUGUGUUAGUUACAUAUUCUCCUUUCCUACCAAAAUUCCAACCGUUCUAACCUCUUUGUUUUAGAUUUACCUCGAUCCAGGGAAGUCCAAUGGGCUCGGGUCAAUCAACCGCGAUGGAAGACCAAAAUCUCACGUCUACAAAAUGAGCCAAACCAGCUGGUUUCAUACCUAUAAUGAAAACUUAAACCGAAUUGGUUUCAAAUGAUUCGACUAAAAUCUAUUUUUCUCUUUUUAAAAGUUUUAAGUAUUGUUUUUCUCUGGCAAGUUCUGAUACUGUUACUUCGCCACAGAAAAGAACUGAGCUAAUAUAUUUAUUAAAAUUUGUUGUUUUCUUUUGAAAUGCAUGUUUGUUUCAGUGUGAUUCUUAAUCUGUUCUUAGAAUGCAGUUAAAAACAUUUAAUUAAAGAUUGAGUAUUCUUAUCUCCUCUUGGGCUUCUCUCUCACGAACUCAAAGCUCACGCCUCAUUUGCCUAGUAGAUUCAUUGUUCAACACCUACCGGAGCCGUUCCUUGCAGUAACUCGACUUCCAAAAUGGCAAUCUGGUUUGCUAUCAUUGGAAGGGUCUUCUUCACUCCCCAGUCUGACAUCAGAGGCAUUCACAUCACUGAGCUUAGCGUCGUGAGAAGAAAGUUCCACUUCCUUGUCAACCGGUAGCUCUGUUUGAAUCCCAUCUGGAUCUUUUACACCAUUUACUGUCACUACCUCUUUGCUAUUAUCUGAAACUUUCUUCUCACUUUCCUUAGUCUCCUCAUCUACAUUUAGGCUUAACAUACCUAGAUCUAAUUAACCCUCCAUUGAUUCUUUUUCCUUAGCCAGAAUUAACCCAUUUAGCUUCUCCAUCCCAAGAUCACCAGCUAAUGCUAAGCUUUCGUUUCCUGUUUCAGCAGUGAUGCAGCCUUCUUGCUCAUCUCUAUCUAGCUUUGCUUCCAGGCCCUAAGCAGCCCUGGGACAGGAACGGGUACAGGAAACGGGGAUGGGAAGGAGGAAGGAAAACGGCAAACAUAAAAAAUUUAGAUACGUGGCAACCAAAAUAUAAGGAAAUAUAAAAAUAUCCAUAAGUUAAAAGGUCAAAUCUCCAAAAUAACACAUUUCUAAGUUUAUAUCACAAAAAUAGCACUCAAAAACUAAAAUGACCAAAAUAGCACAUUUCUAAGUUUAUAUCACAAAAAUAGCACUCAAAAACUAAAAUGACCAAAAUAGCACAUUUCUAAGUUUAUCCUUUGAAAAUUUUAAAUUUUUUAUUUUUCAAAAUUUGAAAUCUUAUCCCAAAACCUCAUUUCUCAACUCUAAACCCUAAACCCUAAACCCUAAACCCUAAACCCUAAACUCUAAACCUUAAACCCUAAAAUCUAAACCCUCAACCCUAAACUCUAAACCCUAAACCCUAAACCCUAAACCCUAAAUCCUAAAUCCUAAAUCCUAAACCCCACCCUUUAACUCUAAACCCUAAGUUUGUGAUUUCUGAUAAAACAUUAAGUGCUAUUUUUGUGACUUUUGACCUUGAGUGCUAGUUUGGUAACAUAAACUUGAUUUAGUGCUAUUUUUGUCUUUUUCUAAGUUAAAAUAUUAAAAUCUGAAACAUAAGUUUUAAGAUUAAAAACACACUUGAUAAAAAUACUAGACAAUAAGCUAAUCAUCUAGCAGCUCAUUUUCAACAGAAUAAGCUAAUCAUCUACCCGUGUUGACAUUUUCAGUUUGAGAGUUCAUUUUUUUAAUCUAUCUGAAGUCACAGAAAACAUAUGAUACAACAAGUAUAAUCAGAAACACAAGAAAUCACGUAUACAGAAAACACACAGAGAAAAAAAAUCAGAAAGUUGUAUUAAUGAAAUAUAAUUCAAACCGGUUGAAUCAAACGUAAACAAUAAAACACUAAAAUCAGAAAGAGACAAGAACUUAAGUGUUGUUUCUUGUUGCUGAUGAAGAGAGAUAUGGUUGACACUUGAGAGUCAAAAAGACAUAAGUUACGUUCUCACUAGAGAGAAAUAUGGUUGAGUACCGCCACCUGGGUUCGAUUCCCGGCCACUGCGAAAUUUAACAUUCGGGCCGCAGCGACACAGAUUAGUCCCUUGGGCCUGGGAAGCCUUUGGGGAAACUGUGUAUAAUUCAAAAAAAAAANNNNNNNNNNNNNNNNNNNNUUUUAAAAAUAAAAAAAAAAAAAAAAAAAAAAGAAAUAUGGUUGAGAGUCGAAGAGAAAACAUGGAGAUGGGAGUGGAAGAGACUAUUAUUGAUAAACAACUUUCUUUAUUACAUCUUUUAAUAUUUUCAGAUCUAAUAGAAUAAAACAAUUAAAAACAAAUAUGGAAUGGUUUAACUUUUACACAUAGGAUUAUCGGAACACCAAAAAUCAAACGGAUACCUCUCUCCUUUGUCCUGAAACGUUCCCGAGACGUCUCCGGUCUCAGACCAAACUGUCCCCGGUGAGUCAUGCCGUCUCGGGUUCACGGCACAUGUGUUGGGAACGUUUCCUAGGCGUACCCGUCCCUCCGGCCCCGGCGAACCCGCGCCGGUACGAAGAGACGGCACCCAAGUGGCGUACGUGCAACCUAUUCCAGCUCUUGAUCUUGCCCACUCAAUGGGCCAGCUAGAGAUUCAGACUUCUGAUCAUUUUGGACAUAAGUCUUGGACGCAUUAGAGCUAUGAAGAACGGCUCGUUCUGAUUCAGUCGACAUAAAGGAGUACCUUGACAAAACCGUAGCGAACAAAGAGAUGAAAUCAUCAGAAAUUACUUUUACUUCAUUUUCCCAAGAAACCAAAUGACAAAGUAGCUACAGUGGAGACAGAUAAAGAAAGAGUGCACCCAACUAACUGCGGAAGCGGUCGUGAAAGCAGCGGUUUACCGGCGGUGGGGUGUCGUCUGUUAGAAGUAAAUGAGUCGGAAGUCAAAUCGAACCAGAAAGAGACUUGAGUUCUUGUUUUGGUAACUUUCCACAUUGUGCACUGUCCACGUUUAACCCCUUUCUAUUAUUAUCAAUAGGUUCAUUUAAUUGGGCCCAAUUACAAACCCAUAGAUAGAGGGCCCAAUUACUUCAUCGGAUUUUGUACUCUUGGUUUGUCCAUGAGAUGCAAAACUUAUUUGAUCCUUCAUUCAUUCAUUGGUUCUUUUGGAUCGUUCUAUGGGAGACUUACCGAGUUUGAGACAUGUUUUGAAGAUGAUUAGUUAUCCUGAAUCCUGAAUCUCCCUUCAUACACUGAGAGCAGUGAUAAAAAAAAAUUGCAGGAACGCUUUUGUAGCAUUUCAUGGAACUUUUGUUGAGUUUACUACUGUCAAAGUUACUCUCUCCAUUGUUGUGUCCAUAGUUUUCAAGAAUUACUAAAGCAUCAUAUACGCAUAUUAUAACCCUAUCACAAUACCAAUUUGUUUAACUUCAUUUCACCAUGUAUCUAAGAGCUAAGGUCAUAUUAGCUGCGUUAAAUACUUAUUAAUCAUGCAAUCACGUCAAAAUGGUCAAGUUUAGAACAGGAAUCGGAAAAUUUCACCACCAUCUAACUUGUUGAUAAACCAAAAGACAUCGUGAUUUUAAGGUUCAGUGAGUACAAAAAGAAAAGUACAAACAACCAUAUCUCAGUGAAGUCAUGCUACAUAUUGGUCCCCAUGGCUACCCAAUUCCGCGAGCUAAAACUCUGCAACAAAGUACUUAUAAAUAAAGCGAAUUCGCAAACAUAAUACCUCUUCGCAAGCUCUCGCUAGCAGCUGCAAACUUGCUCGCCAAAUUAUUCUCUCCAACUGCUUCCGCUGCAAGUCGAAGCUGAGCACAAAUCACACCAUUCAAAGUGGCAUGAGAUUUACUAUAGGUUCAAAGACAUGUCACUGCAGCUGAGACAUAAGAGUUUAGAGGAAGUUACCUGGUUCAGAAACUCGUCGAGCCUUCUAGCGCUCCUAAUGAUACUUCCCUCGAAUAUGUCAGUCUUAUUCAUAACCUCUGCAAAGGUCGAACCCUUCCCAAAGCCAAACAAUCGAGAAUAAUAUCAAAUUACAUGUCCUUGAAAAAAAAAAGCUAUCCCUGAAAACAAGUAAUACCAACCGUUGACCAACAGUAGAUAACGUCCAUUAGGCCUUCCCUGAUGGUGGAUUCUACAUACUCUUCAACGUCUAUUUCCAGUUUGCAUUCAUGUUGUAUCUGUCACCACAGAGAAAAAUUAACAUUAAACCAUGUUGACGAAUUAAGAUUACAAGAUUUCAGCUGGGGAAUCAUUUUACCUCUGCAAUUUUCCGUGCAUUAUCUUUGAGCUGCUGCAACGGUCUAUUAAGUUCAUUUCUUAGCUCUACCUUUUCAUUUGAUUUAUCUACAGGAAUGAAACAGCUUGCGAGGGCAGCUACUUGGUGAUGAUCCAGAUCAUUAAAAGUACCUGUGAAUAAUUUAUAAUGUCAACACCACGCAUGACACAGUCACCAGAAAGGCCUAAACUUAAAAACAGGGUAGCUAAAUAAGUAGUCGUACCAUUGAACAUCAGUUCAGUGACAAGCAGUUCAUCCCCUGUGUCUAUCAAGCAGGCAGCUCGUCCCUUUAACUGGACCACACCAUCAGCAUCAAUGUGUCCAAGUUUCUUUAAUACCCGAGAACGGUUCCUAAGCUCAUCUCUAAACUUUUGAAGCUGCAGAGAUUAACAAUAUGAGGUCAACCACUAGAGCCUCAAACUACAACCCACUUGAUUUAUUCAUGGAUGAGCAAGGUAAUAUACCUGGGAAUCACGCAUUUUCGACUUGAACUGCUGAAUUUCAUAAUUCACCUCCGCUUUUCUCUGGAAACUCUUCAUUUGCUGAUCAUCUUCAGACUGCGAUACAGAAAGCACGAGUUACUAGAUUAUUGAAGAAGUGCUCAAGUUCUUAGUAUGCUUUCUCAGAAUUUCUCUGAGUGCAGAUUCAAAAUGACAAGCUAACGAAAUAGUGAAUGUUACCAAACCUUGUGCAUCGGAUGAGCAAGUAACUUCUGCUCAGCUUCUUCAAUUUGGCUGACCAGCCCCACUAUCUCUGUAUCUUGAAUAUUCAUGUCCUGCCGAUUAUAUUCUAUUUAGAUAAAAUAAGAUCCUGAAAUCUAUUUUAUGCUAAUUUUUAGUUCAAAAAUUGAAACCAAUAAAAGAAUACUGUAUGCAAGACUGUAUAAGUCGUUUUAGACAAGAAGAACCUAGCAAGCAUCUGAUUUAUGGAAUCGGUAGCAGAUAAAAUAUCGUGUAAAGCAUUUCACUGAAGAUAGCACUACUCUAAGAGCAUAGAGAGAAACCUUGACUGGAUGGAGUUUUGGGAACCCUAACGGGAAGCGACUCGACAACUCCUGUACUGCCAGUAGUAUGCUCUGUCUUGCUUCUAGUGGCCGAAGAUCAGACGGAACCGAUAUUCUUAGUCUGCUCAAAGCAGUAAUUAAUGGUAGCUGAACAGGAACCUGAAAACGCAAAAGCACAAUUCUUCAAAAAUACUAACACGAAUAAAAUAAGAAGCUAGCGACCGUGAAAAUGAAAGUGAACUCACCACAUGCAUCUCACCCUUCUCCCCAGGACGGGGAGGACACGGCUUUGGCUUUGCACCAUUCUCGCUAACACCAGUGGAGCAAUGAAGAAGAGUAUCCACUAUAUAUCCGCCACCUUGUGAAGAGGUUCCAACUGAAGUUUUUUUAACAACAUUAACUACAACUCCCCAUCCCCAGUCUGUUCCACCUUCUCGUAUCUUAACCUGUACAUAAACACUUGUCCAAGUAAGUUAUGAGAAGCUUCUGUCAUAAUAUACAAUACAUACCAAUGGUCAAUUAGAUUUGAAAAAAAGAACUUACCAGCCGACCAGUAUCAAGAAAACAAAGCACCCUUUCAGGCCUUAUUAUCUCUGACAUAAGUUUCUUUUCCAGUGGAGCUAUGUCAAGUUUUAGCUUAUGGUACUCAGCAACCUCCGCCUGCAAAUAACUUAAGAAGUAAGAACGAGCCCAAAUCACAGACGUGAAAAUAUGAAAGUGCUGAGCACCUUUCCAGAAGCAUCAAGGAUGGCAGCUUCCUCUUCAAGUUUGGUCACCUUAUUCUCAAUAUCCGGUAAAGCCUGAGGUUACAAUACCAACGUUUAAUUAGCAUCAAAAGUGUAGAUAAAAUUAGAAAGAGAAAGGGGAAGAACAUCCGACAGCUACCUUUUCAUAUUGGAAUUGGUGGAACGAGUGCUUUAUAACAUGCUCAGCUGUAAAUUGUCCUUCGGCACGACUCAAUAGAUUCAAAAUUGUGUAGUAACUCAACCUAAAAGUACUAAGCAAAGGGGCUGGUUUGCCCAGCAUCAUGUCCUUGAGUACAUCCAUUUCCAUCUGUUGAAUAACACCAUAAACAAAUCUAAGAGAUUGAAAAAAAAAAAGAGAUUUAUCUAGAAUCAAUCCUCUUUGAAGACAGCGUAGAGGCUCAACUGUUUGGUGCAUAUGUCAUAUACAACUAUAAUAGGUAGAGAUAAAUCAAAAACUACCUGUUCAUCAAUCAUAAUAAUGCAGAUACCACGUUCAUCCUUUCCACGACGUCCAGCCCUGCCGCUCAUCUGCAAGAAUCAAAUAUAAGCAGACAGUUACUACAAUAUCAUUUUGCAACAAAUCGUCACAUUCACCACUGGCAUCAACAAACUACGACCCACCUGGAUAUAUUCACCAGACCCAAUGAAACGAUGGCUGUCACCAUCCCACUUCUUAACAGCAGUAAACACUACAGUUUUUGCAGGCAUGUUCAAACCCAUAGCAAACUGAUGCAAAAGCCAAGAAUCAUAAAUUAGCACAACAGAGAGUAGCAUAAGUUACACAACAGAAAAGACAAGCUAAUUCCAGAGUAUCUUACAGUUUCCGUGGCGAAAAGCGCUUUUACAAGUCCUUCCUGAAAAAGAAGCUCCACUAAUUCCUUGAGGACAGGGAGAAGACCAGAAUGGUGGACAGCGAUACCACGUUGGAGCAGUGGCAACAUCAUCUCAAUGGCAGACAAAGAUCUAUCCUCCUCAUUCAGGCACAGCAUAGCAUUGUUGAACACCUCUUCCACAGUCGACUUCUCUUCCUCUGUAUUAAAAUCGAGUUUCGACAUUGACAGUGCGUGAUUUUCACAUUCCCUUCUACUGAAGCUGAAGAUGAUGACUGGUUGAAACUUUCUUUCCAUGAUCAUCUACAAAGAUAGAUAAGAGUUAAACUAACAAAUCUACAGGCUACAGAAUACGUAUUCCACUGUUUUAAUAGCUACAAUUCUAUCAAAGUACAUAAACUUAAAACAUAAAAGAAGCACAUAGAUUGCAAUGCUUUGAUAGGAGAACACAACACCACAAGCACCAACAUAGGACAUGAUAAACAAUAUAUAAGAUCAUCAUACCUUUACAAUUUUGUAAACAUCAGAAUCACCACCACCGCCGCCGCCGCCACCACCUUUAGCGCCGCCCCUACCACCUGAUUUGCCAUUUGCACUCUUUUUCCCCUCAGAUUUUGGCUUUGGGAAAGUAUCAUGCAUCUUAAUGAAAUUAGCCUCUCUAAACUGCUCAUUCUCAUCAACUACAAGGUAAAGCCCACUCCCACCCAUAGGAAAAGCAUAAUGCUGCAGAGGCGUCGGCCUAAAGUCUGUAUACACAACAUGACAAGGCUGCUUAUGCAGAUAGCAAAUCCACUCAGCAAACUCAGUAGCAUUCGACAUCGUGGCCGAGAGAAAAACCAUCUUAAUAGCAGGCGGCAAGAAAAUAAUACUCUCUUCCCAAACAACCCCUCUCUCCCUAUCCUUCAUAUAAUGAAUCUCGUCGAAAAUCACCCACGCAACCUCCUUCAAAACCUCAGAGCCUCUAUAAAGCAUCGCUCUCAAAAUCUCCGUGGUCAUCACCAAGCAACUAGCGUUAGGGGAGAUCGUGACGUCACCGGUCAUCAAACCAACGUCGUGAAACUCGUGCUGGAGCUCUCUAUACUUCUGGUUACUCAAUGCUUUCAGAGGGGAAGUGUAGAUCACCCUCUGCUUAUCUCUAAACGCCAUGGCAAUAGCAUACUCCGCAACAGCUGUUUUACCAGCUGAAGUGUGAGCAGAGACCAAGAUCGAUUCUUUCCUCUCCAGGCACGCUACGGAGAUGCUCUGGAAAGGGUCGAGCUGGAAAGGGUAGGUUUUGGCCAUGUCUCCGUUGUACAAAGGGUUAUCGAGAGUUCCGUGAAUCGCUUCCUCUUUCGUUGGCGUGUAGCCGUUGGGGACGGCGACUUCGUGUACGCAAGCUCGUUUUUGGCUGCUUCUGCGCUUCGUCGUGGGGGUCUCAUCAGAAAGCUUUGAGCUUUCGGAUGCUUUCCUCUUGCCGAGUGUCUCCGGUGAUUCCAUUAUUGUGCUCAUAGAUCUCUUCCAAUAAUAACUCGAGGGUUACAAAAAAGUUCUUCACUGCAGAAUAAACAAAUCAGAAAUUAGGGUUUAAGUAUACAAAUUAGGGUUUUAACGAAUUCACAAGAUUGGUACCUUCGGUGACGGUCGUGAAGACGGCGCUAUCUCGGCGGCGGUAGCUUGUUACUCGUUUUAGUUUUUUUUUUUUUUUCUUUUAUACAAGAGAGAUAGUGACGUGGCAGAUAUUCAAUUAAUGGGUUUAGGGUUCAAUAUACAGGCCCAUUUAUAAAGCCCGUAAGGAAAAAAGCCCAUUAACUUAUUUCCCGCCAAAAAAUAAUUAACUACGGAAGCGAGACGUUCUUCUCCGACCGAGGAGUGGUGAGUAACGGUGGUUUUACGCGGUGAUGGGUGUAUACGGAGACGGGAGCGACGGGGCAAGCAUGACGUCGAGACGCCGUGGAUCAAUCGGCGUUGAUUCCGUCGAUAUUGCGAAGAUAUUAGCUGUGUAUUUCAGAGACAACGAGAACUCGUGCAUCGACGAGGAGAAGUUGAUGCUCACGGCGGAGCUUAUCCGCAUAUUCUCUUCGCCGAGUGGUAGAGACUUAGUUUCUCAGGUAUCUCAUUCGGAAACGAUUGGGUCAUUGCUUUUUCUAGACUUAUUCCGGCGUAAAAUCAAAAUUUUCUAGUGAAUUUUCUCAUUAAUCGAUUUUGCAGAAAUUGGAAUCUAGAUUUCGUUUUUCUUCUACGUUUGUAACUUACCUAUGCGUCAAUUAGCUGUUGUUAGUAUCUGAAUAUACAGUUCAUAAGUUUCUUACAUGGCUUGGCACAAAUUGUGAGAGAAGCAGGUGAGUGAAGAUGGUGGCGGUUCCUUCUCUUUACCGCUUGAUCUCCAACAGUUCAAGAAGUUAUGCGAUAUCGAGAAUUUUUUCCUUAAUUUGGAGGAUAAUCCCAAAGGAGUUUUACCAUGUAUGAAUGCUGCAGUUCAUAAGGUAUAUCAUUAUAGUUCUUUGGUGUUUGUUUGCUUGGAUGGCAUGAGAUGAAGACUUACUUAACAUCUUUCACAGGUUUUACUAAGUCAAUGGGAGACUAAUGGCUUUGAUGAUGUUAUGAAGAUCAAUAUUCGUCUGCAUAACUAUCCUGAAUCUUCAAUCUCUCUGAAAAACCUGAGAGCAGCAUAUAUUGGUAGAGAAUUCUGUCUCAUUCCGCAGAAUAAAUAAUAAUGUAAAAAAUGCUUUAGUGUCCCGAGAUUUUGUUCUGCGUGAAUGCAGGUAAGCUUGUAACAGUUCAUGGGACCGUUGUUAAAGUUAGUACUGUGAAGCCUCUUGUCACACAGAUGGCUUUUGACUGUGCAAAGUGUAAAACUAGCAUUACCCGGGAAUUUACUGAUGGAAAGUUUUCACCUCCGCAAAAUUGUGACACCCAUGGAUGUAAGUCCAAGAUGUGUACUCCAGUCCGAUCCUCCGCUCAUACAAUUGAUUUUCAGAAAAUCAGGUGUACUACUAUUUGCGUCUUAUGAUUUUGUGUCCUUCAUUAUUGCUAGUUAAUGUAUCUUGCCAUUGUUAAUCAACUGUCCAACUGUUUUUCAGGGUCCAGGAGUUGCAAAAGCCUGAAGACCAUGAAGAAGGACGGGUACCCCGAACUGUUGAAUGUGAGCUGAUGGAAGACCUUGUGGACACAUGUAUUCCUGGUGAUGUGGUGACUGUUACAGGGAUUAUAGGUGUAAUUAACAAUUACAUGGAUAUUGGGGGAGGUAUUGAUUUUAUAACUCUUUAUGGUUCUUUUCAUAGUUUGUAAGGGAAAAAAUGUUUGCUGUCGUUAAUUGAAUACUAGCUAGAAAUUGAUUUAAUAUGCUAAGCCGUACUCAAUCUUAACGAACUUUUAAAAUGCUAAUGUUCCAGGGAAAUCGAAGUCCAAGAAUCAAGGAUUCUACUAUUUGUUUAUAGAGGCAGUUUCAGUUAAAAACUCUAAGAAGCAGUCUGCAUUUGAGAACUCAGAAGACGCCGGUAGUGGUGUCCAGUCUGCAGAUGUUGGUGAUUUAUAUUCAUUCUCACAGAGAGACUUGGAAUUUAUUGUUAAGUUCAACGAAGAAUAUGGUUCUGAUACAUUCCGUCGCAUACUUCAUUCAGUUUGCCCAUCUAUUUAUGGCCAUGAAAUUGUCAAAGGUGGAGAACUUCUGUUUAUAACAAGUUUCCCUGGGCAAUCAUUGUUGAAGGCUUUAUAAUUACUGUUAGAAGCAUUGUAUAACAUGAUACUUCUGCCGUCUGUAUAUUUCUUGUCAUUUCCACAGCUGGAAUAACACUGUCCCUGUUUGGAGGUGUAAGGAAGCAUUCGAUGGAUCGGAACAAAGUUCCAGUCAGAGGAGACAUUCAUGUCAUUAUUGUUGGUAAGAUUUUAAAUCAAUUUAAUUUAAUGGCAUAAAUAUAGAGAAUACAUGGGCUGGGGGAAGCUUAUUUGUUACUAGUUUGAAACUGAUGCACCAAAAAUUUGAUUGAUGAUUUCAAUGCGCUAAUAGGUGACCCUGGAUUGGGAAAAAGUCAGCUCUUGCAAGCAGCAUCGGCCAUCUCCCCUCGUGGCAUAUAUGUAUGUGGUAAUGCGACGACUAAAGCAGGGCUCACCGUUGCUGUAGUGAAAGAUUCCAUGACAAAUGACUAUGCGUUUGAGGCUGGUAACUCCUUCCGUCCCCUUUAUUUAGCAAGUAUAAAGUUCAGAUAUGGCAUAUGAUUCUACUGUUCCAGAUAUGGGUUUGAGUCAUGCUGUUGAUUGAUUUUACUUAAUACCUGACCUAAAGUCCCAGUCUAGUUGCGUCAGAGGUGCUAAUUUAUUUACCCAAUUUGAUGUUAGUGAGUGAGGCAUACCUUGUAGGUUUCAACUGAUGUCAUUUGUCUGUAGAUGUAAUGAUGUCUAUAGUUUAGCUAGAAUGGGGGAUCGGUAAGCAGAAAGUCUGUCUUAAAGAUAAAGAUAGUACAUUCAACAGUCUGAGCUUCAAGUCUUCAACAGUAUUUUAUAGUAGUAGGAUAGGGUUUUACUGAAGAACUUUACACUAGUGAAAAGUUGUAGAAAGAGAAAUCCUCGUCUUUGUUAACCUAGUGCUACCAUAUGAGCAGGUGCCAUGGUACUUGCAGAUGGCGGGGUUUGCUGCAUUGACGAGUUCGAUAAAAUGACCAACGAGCAUCAGGUUUUUCUUAUCAACAAUGUCAUUACUUCUGAUGCUUACAUUGUUUUAUUAUUAACUUGCAUCACAUUGUCAUAGGCUUUGCUAGAAGCAAUGGAACAACAAUGUGUCUCUGUUGCCAAGGCUGGGCUUGUGGCUAGUCUAUCAGCUCGGACUUCUGUUAUAGCCGCAGCAAAUCCUGUUGGUGGCCACUACAAGUAAUUUUAUUAAUGUUUUAUCUCAUCAUUGUGCGGGUGUUUAGAUCAUACUUGUGACACUGUUCAGUGCAGAAUAAUCCUUGCAUCCUUCAAGGUUUAAUACUUCGAUCAUCUUCAUGAUCUUUAUUUCAGCCGUGCGAAAACUGUAAACGAGAACUUAAAGAUGAGUGCUGCGCUUCUCUCGCGGUUUGAUUUGGUUUUCAUAUUACUUGACAAACCUGAUGAGCUACUCGACAAGCAAGUCUCAGAGCAUAUUAUGUCGGUGAGCAUCUCCCUCUGAAUUAUUUUUGUGGAACAUGCCUCAAAGAGAGAUUAGUAUACGUUGAUAUCUGAAAGUUGUUGCAUUCUAAAUCUUGGACAAAAUACUAUAUUUUUGUUUCUGGAAACACUUUAUUGGCUCUAUGCAUUGGUUAACUUAAUUCAAUGCCAUUAAUGUAGAAUCUUACCUUGAAUUUUUUUUUCUUUCUGGUAGCUUCAUUCUGGAGGUGGAGAAGCACCACCUGCAUUAAAGAAGUUCAAGACAGGUCCAGUUUAUUUUGGCUGUUAGGUUGUAUAGACAUGACUGUAUUAUAGAAUACUUAUUGACUUCACUUUUAAUAUCAAAAACAGCAUCAGGGUCUGCAAAUAUUCAUGCAAAAGAGGGUUCUCUACUCUCAAGACUGCGGUUAGACCCUAAGAAAGAUGAUGACUUCACUCCCAUUCCUGGCCAACUGCUUAGGAAAUAUGUUGCUUAUGCAAGGACUUUCGUCAACCCUAAGUAAUAUGAUCCGUCUCCCAGCUGCAGUUACUAGAUACACACCAAAUCAGGCAUUAUGGGUAACAUCUCUUUAUCUAUUCAGGAUGUCAAAGGCAGCUGGAGAGAUAAUUCAAAAGUUUUACUUGAAGCUGAGAGACCACAACACUUCCGCUGACUCAACACCAAUAACAGCAAGACAAUUGGAAAGUUUGGUCAGGCUUGCCCAAGCUAGAGCUCGGGUUGACUUAAGGGAAGAUAUAACAGUCCAGGACGCAAUGGUAAGCCGGAACAUGAAUGCCUUGUAUCAUACAUGCAUUUGUUUGGACCAUACACUUAAUUAGCAUCCAUACCACACACAUGCAUAAACAUUAUUUCAUCUGCUCUUUUUUGUUGAAUAGGGUAAGUAGUUAGCUUGAGAGUUUCAAAUUAUAAAGCUGCGUUGUUGUGAUUUUGACUUGGAUAAAAUUUUUUUUUGCUACUGGCUACAGAUGUCUUGACUUCUGUCCUUGAAUUUGCUUUUUCAGGAUGUGGUUGAAAUAAUGAAAGAAUCUUUGUAUGAUAAGUUCGUAGAUGAACAUGGGGUUGUGGAUUUUGGUCGGAGUGGAGGAAUGAGUCAACAAAAGGAGGCAAGACGCUUCUUAAGUGCUCUUGAUAAGCAAUCAGAGUUGCAGCAGAAAGAUUGUUACUCUGUUUCGGUAUGAACAAUUUCUAUUCUCCAGAAUUUAGCUACUCGCUUCUGACAUUUAUGGUGACCAGUUUCUUACUCAACAGAAAAACUUUUCUGCAGGAGAUGUAUAGUUUAGCUGAUAGGAUCGGGUUACGAGUUCCAGACAUCGAUACAUUCCUAGAGAACCUGAACACUGCCGGCUACUUGCUCAAGAAGGGACCAAAAACUUACCAGGUAUAUUCCUCUACCUAUCUCAGAACAAGAACAGUCCAUGAACAGGCAAAAGAUGGCUAAAGGAUUUGAUUUGAUUUAAUUUCUCACACUGUCUUGAUUUCAUCAUAUACAGGUCCUCUCCUCAUCUUAUUCUCGGAGUCAAUCAUCCAGGUCAAGAUGAUCAACAUUCCUGGCAAAAACCUUCCUUAGAGCAAAAACUUUUAAAAGUAAAUUUUGUAAGUUCUUGUAUUGCUCAUAUCUAAGUAUGAAUCUGAUCAUGAUAUCAGUCAAAUGAAUAUUAUAAUGCCAGAAACUCCUUCGUAUUUAAUAAGACAUGAACUUGGGUUGAAUGUUUACGUUGUGUAGUAUAGACGACAUCUAAUAUCUAAGAUACACCCUAGUAUACAUUGGUGAAUGAGAGAGUAGCAUGAUCAAUAGGAUGAUCUAGUCUUCUCUUGGACCUAACUUCCACUCACUGCCAUAGUAAGAAUUAGGCAAACCAAGCCAAAACUUGAAAGCUUCAGCCGCUCUCUUUCGUUCCACCCUCCUCUCUACCCUUGCUUGUGAAGCAUGUUUGCUAGUGAACAUCCUAGAGUGCAUCUCCACAUAGAUCUUCUUGAACUUAGUUUUGUUCGGAGGUAUCCCAUUCUCCUCCAUGCAGGCGAUGAUCUCCAAUGCUUUCUUGAAAAACGCAGCUCUCACACAUAUAUCCGCUAACAUAUCUAACAACCCUUCAUCAGGCUUCAGCAUCGGAGGAGAAGAAUCUCCUUCAGAUUCUUCCCUCUUCUUCACCACACACCUUUCCUUUAUCUCCUUCCAUAGCAAGAGCGCCUCACCAGGCUUCCUCGCCAGAGAAACCCCGUUGGCUAGGCUCCCGUAAGUCGCCACGUUCGGGUGAAACCCGUUUUCUUUCAUUCUCGAAACUACUCUCUUCGCAUCUUCAAUCAAACCAAGCCUGCAGUACCCUUCAACCAACAUGUUCCACGCAAUCAAAUCAACUUUGACCCUUGGAUCCCUCAUCAUCUCAUCAAACACCCUGUUCGCCAACUUUGGUUGCCCCGACAUUGCGAAAGCCUUCAUCAAAGUAGUGUAACUAAUCUUAGUUGGUGCAAUCCCUCUAGUUCUCAUUUCAUUGAAGAACGAUAAAGCUCCUGCGCUGUCAUCUAUAAGAAUGCAUCCAUCAAUGAUGAUGUUAUAAGACACAACGUCUGGCUCGAUCCCUGCAUCUUCAGCCAUCUCUCUUAACAAAUCCUCCGCCUUAUCUAUCUGCAGCUGCUUGCAAUACCCUUUGAGGAGGACAUUGUAUGUAAUCCUAUUCGCAGGCACACCCAUCCGAGCCAUCUCAGCUAACACUUGUCGUGCUCUAUCCAUCAACCCGGCUUUUACAAAAGCUGACACAACCGUGGUGUAGGUAACUUCAUCCGGGUGGCUAUUUUUAUCAUCUUGACGUCUCAUCGCCUCUAGCAUUCUAGCUGUAUCCGCCACACGCCCAUUCUUCAUGUAACCUUUCAUCAACGUUGUGUAGAUUCUCGAGUCAGGAGCAAAGGCUUUAGGCAACAGUGGAGGCUCAUCACUCGGGUUAACUGAGUUAGGCAGCAACUUCUUGAACGCAUCCUCAGACCCUUCUUCGAUUACUUCAUCCCGAGGAGUAUAAACUAAACCCUCAUCAUCCUCAAACGCAUCUUCUUCUUCUUCUUCCUCUUCUUUCUCCUUCAAAUCCUCUCCAUUACAUUCUCUCAAAACCUUGCAAAGAUCUCUCCUUUUCUCCCUCAUCGCUUGAACAAUCCUCUCCGCAGUUCUCAAAUCUCCAAAACCAACAUAAGCUGCUACAAGUGAAUGCAUCGUAGUCAUACAAACCUUAACUCCCUUCUCAAUAAUCCUCUCCACGACAAACACAAUCAGCUCCUUCCGACCAACUCUCGCACAAAGCUUGAUCAUUACGUUAUAAGUCAACACAUCAGGCUCACAGUCCCACUCAGACAUCUCACAAAACAGUUUCGAAUACUUCUCGGUAUCACCAAUAUUCGCACAAGCGUUAAGCACAGCGUUAAACGCAGCCGUAUCAGGCCUAGACUGAGCGACCAAAGAUUGAUCUCCAAAGCGUCUGACUCUUCGUGUAAUAGCUGUGAAGAGUUUGAUAGACUCUUCAGGUCCAUCGUCUCCAGCAGCAGAGAGGUUAGCUACCGCAGCUGUCCAAGCCUUAACGUGUGGUAAGUACCCAGAACGGAGCAUUGACUUGAUGACGGAGACGGCGUAAAGCGUUUGGCCGGACUUCGCGGCGGCCAUGGCGAGGAGGCCGAGGGAGUUGGCGUCCAGGCGGUGGAGCUGGCGCUCAUUGCGGAGGCGCGUGAGGAUAGACUGCGCGCGCGUGAGGCUCUCGGGUUUGGAUUGAUAAGACAACUGUGAAACUAAACGGCUAAGACAAGUGGGACCAGGGAGAUGAGUGGAUUGGACGUACUUAGCCCAAGCUUCGUCGGUUCUUCUGUUGCGCAGGAGAGACAGAAGCUCUUGGUCGUUGUGCGUUGAGUAGGCUUCUGGAGAAGAGCCUAAGAAUGAUGAGAGGUCUCCGGCGGAGCUGUUGGCAGUUCCGGAAGCGGACCGUGCGAAAAAGUGGCGGCGUGUGGGGAGACCAGCGGCUGUGAAUGGUGGUGGGUUGAUUGAGCAGAGGGAUAUGGGGUUGUGGGUGGUAGUGAAAGCCGCCGCCGCGGUUACUAUAGCGGAGUUUGUGUAUGGAGGAAAUGACGACGAUGAAGUCGGAGGAGGUCGGAGAAUGUUCAUCUUAGGUCCAUUGGAGAGAGAGAGAGAGAGAGCGUGUGUUUGUGUAAUGAAAUGAUCUCCAAAUGGAUUAUUUGGGUGGACAGAAUUGUAAUACGUCGCCGUAUUACAAUUCAAGCAACUGUUCAAAAUUAAUAUCUCCACAUUUAAAACCUUUUAGACUCAUAUGCCCUUGUUACCAUCCAAUCACAGAUGUUAUAGUCAGAGAUCAGAACAGAACUGAUUAGAACAAUAGUUGAAUAAACCUUUUUUCAACAACGUUAAAAUAACUUUCAAUCUAAAUUUAGCUUUAAUGUAACAGUUUUAAUUUUUUUAUCAUCGGAAAAAGCCAUAACGAAUGUUCAACAAUUUCGAGAUUUUAUAAUAAGAUCUAAGAUUUCUUCACAAUUUUAAGAUUUAACAAUAAGAUUUUAAAAUUGUUUAGAAU
rnacentral:lncRNA from 1 species